rnacentral:rRNA from 1 species
AUGAACGCUGGCGGCGUGCCUAAUACAUGCAAGUCGAGCGAACAGACGAGGAGCUUGCUCCUCUGACGUUAGCGGCGGACGGGUGAGUAACACGUGGAUAACCUACCUAUAAGACUGGGAUAACUUCGGGAAACCGGAGCUAAUACCGGAUAAUAUAUUGAACCGCAUGGUUCAAUAGUGAAAGACGGUUCUGCUGUCACUUAUAGAUGGAUCCGCGCCGCAUUAGCUAGUUGGUAAGGUAACGGCUUACCAAGGCAACGAUGCGUAGCCGACCUGAGAGGGUGAUCGGCCACACUGGAACUGAGACACGGUCCAGACUCCUACGGGAGGCAGCAGUAGGGAAUCUUCCGCAAUGGGCGAAAGCUUGACGGAGCAACGCCGCGUGAGUGAUGAAGGUCUUCGGAUCGUAAAACUCUGUUAUUAGGGAAGAACAAAUGUGUAAGUAACUAUGCACGUCUUGACGGUACCUAAUCAGAAAGCCACGGCUAACUACGUG